rnacentral:rRNA from 1 species
GACGAACGCUGGCGGCGUGCUUAACACAUGCAAGUCGAACGGAAAGGCCCUGCUUGCAGGGUACUCGAGUGGCGAACGGGUGAGUAACACGUGGGUGAUCUGCCCUUCACUUCGGGAUAAGCCUGGGAAACUGGGUCUAAUACCGGAUAGGAGCCAUUUUUAGUGUGAUGGUUGGAAAGUUUUUUCGGUGUAGGAUGAGCUCGCGGCCUAGCAGCUUGUUGGUGGGGUAAUGGCCUACCAAGGCGGCGACGGGUAGCCGGCCUGAGAGGGUGGACGGCCACAUUGGGACUGAGAGACGGCCCAGACUCCGACGGGAGGCAGCAGUGGGGAAUAUGGCACAAUGGGCGCAAGCCUGAUGCAGCGACGCCGCGUGGGGGAUGACGGCCUUCGGGUUGUAAACGCCGUUCGCUAGGGACGAAGCUUUUUGUGACGGUACCUAGAUAAGAAGCACCGGCUAACUACGUG